CUUUUCAAAAUAAUUAUAUGUGGCUCUUCAUUGGUCAAUUUUGGAUUAUUUACUAAUUCAUUCAUCAAAUUGCAGAAAAUCGGUUAAUAUAAAGCAUACACUUUACUUUACAUGUUAAGUGGUAUAAUACAUAGACAGAAAUAUCA